AAGUCCAGUCGCGGGUAGUGGGAGCGGAUGGAAGUAGCUGAAACUGGGCCGACAUUCUGCUAAUUUUCUCGUCGAUUAAACAUCUGAUCUCAAUACAUUGUUCUGUCCAAAAAGUACAAUAUGUUACGAGCACAGUGCGCUAAGUUUUAUAGACUUGAAGCUUUGCCAAAGUUUUAAAAAAUUGCGUUUAGGAGUGGAAGGUCGAAUUGAGUUUGUGCUUGGCUUUGCCCACUUGCUUGUUCUGCCCACUAUGCUUAUACUGUAAACAGCACAGAUGAACUAACUUCGUUUUGGAAACAAUUUCCAAGACGAACAAAAAAGCCAAAAUGUCAUAAUAUAUGCACGAACUUUUCCGAAAUGUUUCGGCUGGGAAGAAUCCCGACGCCUUUAGCAAGGGCUUCGGUUCAACGUCCGUCCUUCAGCUGAUGACACCGAACAUGGAAUGACUGAGACGGGCAAACCCCACUCCGUUGCCAGCAACAUUGCAUAGCAAUAUUGCCCCCCCAGAAAUGGCCAGUGUAUCAUUAGCCGUCACAUGCACAGCCUUUGGCACGGAAAAAACUCAGCUGGGAGAGUAAAAGUAUCCCAUUCAAUGGUGUUCCGUUUCAAGUUGUUGGCACAAAGACGUAUGAAUGCCACCAGGGCAAAGACAGACAGACAAAAGCCAAAGAGAAAUAUGCUGCUGAAAGAGACAAGAAGGAACUUGAAGACCAUGCCUUUGUAAAGAGACGGAAACUGGCACAAAAUACCAAAAAGGUGGACUGCAAGGCUAUAAUAAACAUCGCCCAAGUUAUCCGCUUUCCUGAUUUUAAGAUUGAGGAAAGUACAGUGCGCUCUAAAAAGGAGGCCUCCCAAACUCUGAAGGCAGCACUAAGUGAAACUCCCAGCUCCGUGAAGGCAGAGGUUGUCUACUGCGUCAGGUUCCCCUCCCUCUCUGAGCACAGCUCACAUGCAGUUGUUGGAGAGGCAGCUUAUGUUCGGGAAGCUGUAGAUGCCAGGCUGAGAGAGAAGAUAGAGCAGCUGACUCUGUCUGGUGUGAGAAAGAUGACUGAAAUGAAGUGUCAUCUGAACACCUUUGUAGUGGAAGAGCUUUUCCAUGGAGAGCAGCCCCCUCCACCUACUCGCAGGCGCUAUUACCCCACUGACAGUGACAUAAGAAAUGUCAUGUUUAAGACCAAGCAGGCCACCAGAGACUCCAACAUUGACCGUCCAUACGAAGGUCCAUCUGUAAGAGGAAAGAAGAGGUCCUCUAGGAAGCUGCUGCGGUUACGGAGGCAAUGUGCAGGAUAUCUUAAAGAAAUCACAGAACUCACUUAUCAUCUCCAAGAGGAACAGUACGUGACUGGCCUGUCUUCACAGCUCAGAAGCGUGUUGCUGGAUAUGAAGGCCCAUGUUCCACAGGAUAAAGGCCUUCCACUGACCUUUUCUCCAAGUAAGAGAAAAGCUGAGAUGGACAUGGACCUCAUUCCAACCAAGAGUGCGUCACACCCUUUCACAGACGGGGUAGAACAGUAUACAGAGGACAUAGUGAGUGUGGAUACCUUGUUGGCAUUGAGCCUAGGUUAGUAGGGCUGUGUGGAUACCUUGUUGGCAUUGAGCCUAGGUUAAUAGUGAGUGUGGAUACCUUGUUGGCAUUGAGCCUAGGUUAGUAGGGCUGUGUGGAUACUUUGUUGGCAUUGAGCCUAGGUUAGUAGGGCUGUGUGGAUACCUUGUUGGCAUUGAGCCUAGGGCUGAUGACAGUGUGUGGGUUCUGCCACCAAUUGAGUAUAUUUUGGUUAGUGUAACUUUUAUUUAAACUAAUGUUAACAUUCUGUCAACACAACUUGAUAAAAACAUGUUUUCUCAUCUCAAGAUGUUAAACAAAUAAAUUACUAUAGUAAGUCAUUUAGGAAGCAUAUAUAUACACACUGUUCCUCUCUUCUGCUGCUACUCUGUACUUUAUUUUAUUAUUGUCUGUCCUGAUGCCUAGUCACUUUACCCUGCACAUUUAUCUCCUUGAUCUGGUACUGGUACUUCCUGUAUAUAGCUGCACAUUGAUCUGGUACUUCCUGUAUAUAGCUGCACAUUGAUCUGGUACUUCCUGUAUAUAGCUGCACAUUGAUCUGGUACUUCCUGUAUAUUGUGUAUUCUAUUCCUCUUGUUACAAUCCCAAAAUGUUUUAAACUUUGCAUCGUUGUGAAGGGCUGUAAGCAUUUCGCGGUUAAAUCUACACCCGUUGUAUUCGGCGCAUGUGACAAAUAACAUUUGUUUUGAAGUGCCCAAAUGAAGUAACAGGGUUGACCUUAUGUGUUGACGUUUAAUCUUAAAUCAGACAAUUUCAAAAUGUACAAUUCUGAACGUUUCUUUGAAACUGUGUACGUUUUACUUGUGGAUAUUGAAAACAAAACAUUGAAAAUCAAGAUGUACCAAUUUGUUUGUCUACAUGCCAUUUUAAAAACAAUGCAGAAAUUGGAUUAAACCUAUUUUGGGUUAAAACAAGUAACUAUGA